rnacentral:rRNA from 1 species
AGAGUUUGAUCAUGGCUCAGGACGAACGCUGGCGGCGUGCCUAACACAUGCAAGUCGAACGAGGUCCAUCCUUCGGGAGAAGACCUAGUGGCGAACGGGUGAGUAACACGUGAAGAACCUGCCCCGAAGACCGGGAUAACUCUCCGAAAGGAGAGCUAAUACCGGAUACCCCCACCGAACCGCAUGGUUUGGUGAGGAAAUGGAUUCCGCUUCGGGAGGGCUUCGCGGCCUAUCAGCUAGUUGGUGGGGUAACGGCCCACCAAGACAUCGACGGGUAGCUGGUCUGAGAGGACGAUCAGCCACACUGGGACUGAGACACGGCCCAGACUCCUACGGGAGGCAGCAGUGGGGAAUCUUGCGCAAUGGGCGAAAGCCUGACGCAGCAACGCCGCGUGGGGAUGAAGGCUCUCGGGUUGUAAACCCCUUUCAGCAGGGACGAAUCAAGACGGUACCUGCAGAAGAAGCCCCGGCUAACUACGUG